UACGGCAAUAUCACGUUGAAAUUCCGUUUCUCGUUCGAUCACCAAAGUUAAGCAAUUUUGAACCUGGUCAAUACUUAGAUGGGUGACUGCUUGGAAAUACCGGGUGCCGUAAG